rnacentral:rRNA from 1 species
AUUGAACGCUGGCGGCAUGCCUUACACAUGCAAGUCGAACGGUAACAGGUCUUCGGAUGCUGACGAGUGGCGAACGGGUGAGUAAUACAUCGGAACGUGCCCGAGAGUGGGGGAUAACGAGGCGAAAGCUUUGCUAAUACCGCAUACGAUCUCAGGAUGAAAGCAGGGGACCGCAAGGCCUUGCGCUCACGGAGUGGCCGAUUGCAGAUUAGGUAGUUGGUGGGAUAAAAGCUCACCAAGCCGACGAUCUGUAGAUGGUCUGAGAGGACGACCAGCCACACUGGGACUGAGACACGGCCCAGACUCCUACGGGAGGCAGCAGUGGGGAAUUUUGGACAAUGGGCGCAAGCCUGAUCCAGCCAUGCCGCGUGCAGGAUGAAGGCCUUCGGGUUGUAAACUGCUUUUGUACGGAACGAAAAGACUCCUUCUAAUAAAGGGGGUCCAUGACGGUACCGUAAGAAUAAGCACCGGCUAACUACGUGCCAGCCGCCGCGGUAACAC